rnacentral:rRNA from 1 species
UAGGGAAUCUUCGGCAAUGGACGAAAGUCUGACCGAGCAACGCCGCGUGAGUGAAGAAGGUUUUCGGAUCGUAAAACUCUGUUGGUAGAGAAGAACGUUGGUGAGAGUGGAAAGCUCAUCAAGUGACGGUAACUACCCAGAAAGGGACGGCUAACUACGUGCCAGCAGCCGCGGUAAUACGUAGGUCCCGAGCGUUGUCCGGAUUUAUUGGGCGUAAAGCGAGCGCAGGUGGUUUAUUAAGUCUGGUGUAAAAGGCAGUGGCUCAACCAUUGUAUGCAUUGGAAACUGGUAGACUUGAGUGCAGGAGAGGAGAGUGGAAUUCCAUGUGUAGCGGUGAAAUGCGUAGAUAUAUGGAGGAACACCGGUGGCGAAAAGCGGCUCUCUGGCCUGUAACUGACACUGAGGCUCGAAAGCGUGGGGAGCAAACAGGAUUAGAUACCCUGGUAGUCCACGCCGUAAACGAUGAGUGCUAGAUGUAGGGAGCUAUAAGUUCUCUGUAUCGCAGCUAACGCAAUAAGCACUCCGCCUGGGGAGUACGACCGCAAGGUUGAAACUCUAAAGUGAAUUGAC